rnacentral:rRNA from 1 species
CCUACGGGAGGCAGCAGUGAGGAAUAUUGGUCAAUGGUCGGGAGACUGAACCAGCCAAGCCGCGUGAGGGAUGAAGGUACAGAGUAUCGUAAACCUCUUUUGUCAGGGAACAAAGGCGGGGACGUGUCCCCGGAUGAGUGUACCUGAAGAAAAAGCAUCGGGUAACUCCGUGCCAGCAGCCGCGGUAAUACGGAGGAUGCGAUCGGUAUCCGGUUUUAUUGGGGUUAAAGGGUGCGCAGGCGGUCUGUUAAGUCAGCGGUCAAAGCCCGGGGGUCACCCCCGGCCCGCCGUUGAAACUGGCAGUCGCGAGUUGGAGAGAAGUAUGCGGAAUGCGCGGUGUAGCGGUGAAAUGCAUAGAUAUCGCGCAGAACUCCGAUUGCGAAGGCAGCAUGCCGGCUCCACACUGACGCUGAGGCACGAAAGCGUGGGUAUCGAACAGGAUUAGAUACCCUGGUAGUC